rnacentral:RNase_P_RNA from 1 species
GAGUCGGCCGGGUGAUCGCGGUGGGAAACCACUGAGGAAAGUCCGGACUCCACACGGCAGGGUGGUGGGUAACACCCACCCGGGGUGACCCGCGGGACAGUGCCACAGAGAACAGACCGCCUCCUCGCGGAGGUAAGGGUGAAACGGUGGUGCAAGAGACCACCAGCACCUCAGGUGACUGGGGUGGCUAGGCAAACCCCACCCGGAGCAAGACCAAGAGGAUCCGCCUCGGCGGAUCUGCGGCAACGAUUGAGGGCUGCCCGCCCGAGUUGCCGGGUAGGUCGCACCAGGCCGUUGGCAACAACGGUCGCAGAUGGAUGAUCACCGGGCACUUCGGUGCUCACAGAAUCCGGCUUACGCGCCGACUCGUC